UGGUUUAUGCUUUUACAAGCUGUAUUGCAUCGCUAUGCUGAGGUUGACGAUCAUCUUCAAAGUUGGUGGCAUUUACUGCUGCCCAAUAAACUCUUUUGUCCCCAAAAGAGAUAUGCAGCUAAAUGUAAAAUUUUACCAGAACACCGUUUUAAUAUCUUUGCAGCGAAAGAUGAAAUAGUUUCAGAGCUGGCCAGUGCUCGUAGGGUAAUCCCUUCACGCUCACACUACCUACCACCGCACCAUGGAAGAGCCACGACGGGUUUCCUCUUCCAUCGUCGACGGUUGCCUGUG